CAGGACAUGAAGGGAUGGCUUUCCUGGUUUUCCUGAACAUCUCAAUGGAGGAUACAGGUUUCUACAGAUGUAAAGAAGGCGACAUGUCUAUAGGCCAUGCUAUUAAUGUGACUGUGACAGGACAUUUUAUUAUAUUUUUAAUAGAUAAUAAGGAGGAUAAGGUUUCACACAAUCAAAGCAACAAAAGUAAGGACAUGACCAUUACUGGUAAUGUUUUGUUUGGACAAAUCCAUCUUCAUUUGUUGAUAAGAACCAUAAGUUGAUAAUGACAACAACUCUUAAAUAUCAUUUUAUUCACCUUCAAUAUUAGGUGAUCUGAAUUCAGGUCCAACGGAUGAUCUACAGUGGCUCUGGCCAUAUGUGUACAUCUGCAGUGGAAUAGCAGGGCUGGUGGUGAUAGUUAUUACUGUAACAUUGUUUAUCAUCAGAUGCCAAGGUGA
rnacentral:lncRNA from 1 species